UGUUAUCUACGGGAGGCAGCAGUGGGGAAUAUUGCACAAUGGGGGAAACCCUGAUGCAGCAACGCCGCGUGAGUGAUGUCGGCCUUCGGGUUGUAAAGCUCUGUCUUCAGGGACGAUAAUGACGGUACCUGAGGAAGAAGCCACGGCUAACUACGUGCCAGCAGCCGCGGUAAUACGUAGGUGGCGAGCGUUGUCCGGAUUUACUGGGCGUAAAGGGAGCGUAGGCGGACUUUUAAGUGAGAUGUGAAAUACUCGGGCUCAACUUGAGUGCUGCAUUUCAAACUGGAAGUCUAGAGUGCAGGAGG
rnacentral:rRNA from 1 species